CACUUCUAAGGAAGGCAGCAGGCGCGCAAAUUACCCAAUCCUGACUCAGGGAGGUAGUGACAAGAAAUAACAAUAAACCGGCUUAUGCCGGUUUAAUUGGAAUGAGUACAAUUUAAACAUCUUAACGAGGAACAAUUGGAGGGCAAGUCUGGUGCCAGCAGCCGCGGUAAUUCCAGCUCCAAUAGCGUAUACUAAAGUUGUUGCAGUUAAAAAGCUCGUAGUUGGAUUUCUGUGGGGACGGAGCGGCCGGCCGCAACUCGCGGUUCGAGCUAGCGCUUUCCCUACAUCCUGCCGCGAACCGUGCUACCAUUAGUUUGGUGGCGCCGGGGAUCGGCUCGAUUACUUUGAGAAAAAUAGAGUGUUCAAAGCAGGCCACACGCCUUGAAUAAGUUAGCAUGGAAUAAUAACUAUGGACUUCGGUUCUAUUUUGUUGGUGUUCGGGACUGAAGUAAUGAUUGAUAGGGACAGUUGGGGCGGUCUGUAUUCCAAAGCGAGAGGUGAAAUUCUUAGACCUUCGGAAGACAAACAGCUGCGAAAGCGUUCCGCAAGGAUGUUCCCUUUGAUCAAGAACGAAAGUUGGGGGAUCGAAGACGAUCAGAUACCGUCGUAGUCUCAACUAUAAACUAUACCAGCUAGGGAUCGGCCAACGUUAUUUAAACCGACUUGGUCGGCACCUUAUGAGAAAUCAAAGCAUCUGGGUUCCGGGGGGAGUAUGGUCGCAAGGCUGAAACUUAAAGGAAUUGACGGAAGGGCACCACCAGCCGUGGAGCCUGUGGCUUAAUUUGACUCAACACGGGAAAACUUACCAGGUCCAGACAUAGUAAGGAUUGACAGAUUGAUAGCUCUUUCUUGAUUCUGUGGGUGGUGGUGCAUGGCCGUUCUUAGUUGGUGGAGUGAUUUGUCUGGUUAAUUCCGUUAACGAACGAGACUCCAGCCUGCUAAAUAGCGCGCGUGAGCUUUGCUCGCGGCGAGCUUCUUAGAGGGACUAUGAUGCGCGAUAGCACAUGGAAGUUUGGGGCAAUAACAGGUCUGUGAUGCCCUUAGAUGUUCUGGGCCGCACACGGGCUACACUGGCGCCUGCAACGAGCAUAUCAGCUGGCCCGAGAGGGUCUUGGCUAAUCUUUUGAACCGGCGCCGUGCUUGGGAUUGACCUUUGCAAUUGUUGGUCAUGCAACGAGGAAUGCCUUGUAAACGCGAGUCAUCAGCUCGCAUUGAAUACGUCCCUGCCCUUUGUACACACCGCCCGUCGCUCCUACCGAUGAAUGUUCCGAUGAAAUUUUCGGAGAGCACCGGUAAACUUGGCUCUGCCUUGCGAACGGGAGGCUCAAAGUCACUUAAAUCUGAACAUUUCGAGG
rnacentral:rRNA from 1 species